CAUCUGACCUGCGUUUGAUUCUCAGGAAAAUCGUUGUUUUCCCUCGCGUUUUUUAGCAUGUUGAUUACCUCAUAGCUGUAAGAUGGCAGCUGUGCAUCCAGACAUCACAUCCACGUUCCAGGCAGGAAGGAAAGGCGGAAGGAAUAUUAAGCAACGCCUCAAAAGAUUUUCCAGGGCUGCUUUCUCCGGCUGGUGGAUUGUCUCUUGCCGGUCUGGUGCCGAUGGUUGAUUGUGUC